AGAGUUUGAUCAUGGCUCAGAAUCAACGCUGGCGGCGCGCUUAACACAUGCAAGUCGCACGAGAAAGUGGAGCAAUCCAUGAGUAAAGUGGCGUACGGGUGAGUAACACGUGGAUCAUCUACCUCUUAGUGGGGAAUAACCCUGGGAAACCGGGGCUAAUACCGCAUAAGCCUGAGAAGGGAAAGCAGCAAUGCGCUGAGAGAGGAGUCCGCGGCCGAUUAGCUAGUUGGUAGGGUAAAAGCCUACCAAGGCAAUGAUCGGUAGCCGGCCUGAGAGGGCACACGGCCACACUGGCACUGAAACACGGGCCAGACUCCUACGGGAGGCAGCAGUGGGGAAUCUUGCACAAUGGAGGAAACUCUGAUGCAGCGACGCCGCGUGAGCGAUGAAGCCCUUCGGGGUGUAAAGCUCUUUCGACGGGAACGAUAAUGACGGUACCCGGAGAAGAAGCUGCGGCUAACUACGUGCCAGCAGCCGCGGUAAUACGUAGGCAGCAAGCGUUGUUCGGAAUUACUGGGCGUAAAGAGUGUGUAGGCGGUUCUCUAUGUUCGGUGUGAAAUCUCCCGGCUUAACUGGGAGGGUGCGCCGAAAACUGGAGGGCUUGAGUAUGGGAGAGGAAAGCGGAAUUCCUGGUGUAGCGGUGAAAUGCGUAGAUAUCAGGAGGAACACCUGCGGUGUAGACGGCUUUCUGGACCAUCACUGACGCUGAGACACGAAAGCGUGGGUAGCAAACAGGAUUAGAUACCCUAGUAGUCC
rnacentral:rRNA from 1 species